GACACCACUGGAAACGGUGGCUAAUACCGGGUAUGCCAAGAGGUGAAGGUUAACUGCCUGGAGAUGAGCUCGCGUCUGAUUAGCUAGUUGGUGGUGUAAGGGACUACCAAGGCGACUAUCAGUAGCUGGUCUGAGAGGAUGAUCAGCCACACUGGAACUGAGACACGGUCCAGACUCCUACGGGAGGCAGCAGUGGGGAAUUUUCCGCAAUGGGCGAAAGCCUGACGGAGCAAUACCGCGUGAGGGAGGAAGGCUCUUGGGUUGUAAACCUCUUUUCUCAGGGAAUAAGCAAGUGAAGGUACCUGAGGAAUCAGCAUCGGCUAACUCCGUGCCAGCAGCCGCGGUAAUACGGAGGAUGCAAGCGUUAUCCGGAAUGAUUGGGCGUAAAGCGUCCGUAGGUGGCUGUGUGUGUCUAUUGUUAAAGAGUUUGGCUCAACCAAAUAAGGGCGGUAGAAACUACACAGCUAGAGUGCGUUCGGGGCAGAGGGAAUUCCUGGUGUAGCGGUGAAAUGCGUAGAGAUCAGGAAGAACACCGGUGGCGAAAGCGCUCUGCUAAGCCGCAACUGACACUGAGGGACGAAAGCUAGGGGAGCGAAUGGGAUUAGAUA
rnacentral:rRNA from 1 species